rnacentral:tRNA from 1 species
GCCGGACGUAGAAGGACAGGCUAGGACAUGCUCAAGCAAACUCGUAAUGAGCAGGUCAGCGGUUCGAGUCCGCUCGUCGGCU